UACGUAGGGUGCAAGCGUUAAUCGGAAUUACUGGGCGUAAAGCGUGCGCAGGCGGUUGUGCAAGACCGAUGUGAAAUCCCCGGGCUUAACCUGGGAAUGGCAUUGGUGACUGCACGGCUAGAGUGUGUCAGAGGGGGGUAGAAUUCCACGUGUAGCAGUGAAAUGCGUAGAGAUGUGGAGGAAUACCAAUGGCGAAGGCAGCCCCCUGGGUUAACACUGACGCUCAUGCACGAAAGCGUGGGGAGCAAACAGG
rnacentral:rRNA from 1 species